UACGGGAGGCAGCAGUGGGGAAUAUUGCACAAUGGGCGAAAGCCUGAUGCAGCUAUGCCGCGUGUAUGAAGAAGGCCUUAGGGUUGUAAAGUACUUUCAUCGGGGAGGAAAAAACAAAACUAAUAAUUUUAUUUCUUGACGUUACCCGAAAAAGGAGCACCGGCUAACUCCGUGCCAGCAGCCGCGGUAAUACGGAGGGUGCUAGCGUUAAUCAGAAUUACUGGGCGUAAAGAGCACGUAGGUGGUUUUUUUAAGUCAGAUGUGAAAUCCCUGGGCUUAACCUAGGAACUGCAUUUUGAAACUGAAAUACUAGAGUAUCGUAGAGGGAGGUAGAAUUCUAGGUGUAGCGGUGAAAUGCGUAGAUAUCUGGAGGAAUACCUGUGGCGAAAGCGGCCUCCUAAACGAAUACUGACACUGAGGUGCGAAAGCGUGGGGAGCAAACAGGGAUUAGAUACC
rnacentral:rRNA from 1 species